rnacentral:rRNA from 1 species
UACAGAGGGUGCAAGCGUUGUUCGGAAUUACUGGGCGUAAAGCGCGCGUAGGCGGAUCUGCAAGUCGGGGGUGAAAUCCCGAGGCUCAACCUCGGAACUGCCUUCGAUACUGCGGGUCUCGAGUCCGGGAGAGGUGAGUGGAAUUCCUAGUGUAGAGGUGAAAUUCGUAGAUAUUAGGAAGAACACCAGUGGCGAAGGCGGCUCACUGGCCCGGUACUGACGCUGAGGCGCGAAAGCGUGGGGAGCAAACAGG